AGAGGAAGGAAGAGACCGAGUCAAACAUUGAACAAUAGAGAGGAAUGUGGAGACGGAAUCAAACAUUGAACAAUAGAGGGAGGUGGAAACUGAGUCAAACAUUGAACAAUACAGAGGAAGGUGGAUAUCGAGACAAACAUUGAACAAUAGAGGGGGAGGUGGAGACGGAGUCAAACAUUGAACAAUAGAGGGAAAGGUGGAGACGGAGUCAAACAUUGAACAAUACAGGGGAAGAUGGUGACGGAGUCAAACAUUGAACAAUACAGAGGAAGGUGGAGACGGAGUCAAACAUUGAACAAUACAGAGGAAGGUGGAGACGGAGUCAAACAUUGAACAAUACAGAGGAAGGUGGAGACGGAGUCAAACAUUGAUCAAUACAGAGGAAUGUGGAGACGGAGUCAAACAUUGAACGACGCAGAGGAAGGUGGAUAUCGAGUCAAACAUUGAACAAUACAGAGGAAGGUGGAGACGGAGUCAAACAUUGAACAAUACAGAGGAAGGUGGAGACGGAGUCAGACAUUGAACAAUACAGAGGAAUGUGGAGACGGAGUCAAACAUUGAACAAUACAGAGGGAUGUGGAGACGGAGUCAAACAUUGAACGACGCAGAGGAAGGUGGAGACGGAGUCAAGCAUUGAACAAUACAGAGGAAUGUGGAGACGGAGUCAAACAUUGAACAAUACAGAGGAAUGUGGAGACGGAGUCAAACAUUGAACGACGCAGAGGAAGGUGGAGACAGAGUCAAACAUUGAACAAUACAUAGGAAGGUGGAGACGGAGCCAAACAUUGAACAAUACAGGGGAAAGUGGAUAUCGAGUCAAACAUUGAACAAUAGAGAGGAAGGUGGAGACGGAGUCGAACAUUGAACAAUACAGGGAAAGUGGAGACGGAGUCAAACAUUUGAACAAUACAGAGGAAGGUGGAGACGGAGUCAAACAUUGAACGACGCGCAGGAAGGUGGAUAUCGAGUCAAACAUUGAACAAUACAGGGGAAGGUGGAGACGGAGCCAAACAUUGAACAAUACUGGGGAAGGUGGAGACGGAGUCAGACAUUUGAACAAUACAGAGGAAGGUGGAGACGGAGUCAAACAUUGAACGACGCACAGGAAGCAAGGUGGAAAAUGUUACACGACCAUUCCAUAAGAUAUCAUGAAGAAUGUUGAAUCAUUGAGGAAUACACCAAAUAAACCCUGGGCUGUGAAUUAUGUUAACGGAAGUGGAAGUGAACGCCAAAGAAAGAAGAUUCUGUCAUUCAAUAAUUUCGAAAAGUGUAUAAAUUUUCAAUUAUCUAAAAAUAUUAAAAUGUCA